rnacentral:rRNA from 1 species
CCUACGGGAGGCAGCAGUAAGGAAUAUUGGUCAAUGGGGGCAACCCUGAACCAGCCAUGCCGCGUGCAGGAUGACUGCCCUAUGGGUUGUAAACUGCUUUUGCCGGGGAAUAAACCCCUCCACGUGUGGAGGGCUGAAUGUACCCGGAGAAUAAGGAUCGGCUAACUCCGUGCCAGCAGCCGCGGUAAUACGGAGGAUCCGAGCGUUAUCCGGAUUUAUUGGGUUUAAAGGGUGCGUAGGCGGCACUUUAAGUCAGGGGUGAAAGACGGCAGCUCAACUGUCGCAGUGCCCUUGAUACUGAAGUGCUUGAAUGCGGUUGAAGACGGCGGAAUGAGACAAGUAGCGGUGAAAUGCAUAGAUAUGUCUCAGAACACCGAUUGCGAAGGCAGCUGUCUAAGCCGUUAUUGACGCUGAUGCACGAAAGCGUGGGGAUCGAACAGGAUUAGAUACCCUAGUAGUC